GCGGGCUUCCGUCCCGAGCUCUGAUAUCCCGCCUUCAUCAUGCCCGUUCUUGAGUUUCCCGAGCAGUUGGGACACUUCGGCGUGUACGUUUCGGGCCUUCCGCAGAGAUAGCAGAAUACUCUGCGUUCCUUGGCCAUACACUCUCGGAACCCGUGGCCAACUUCUCCGCAAUUCCAGCAGCCCAGCCUCGGCUUCGCUGUCAGGUGGGUUUCCUCAACCAUCACCUCUUCCUCUCCUUCCAACAGCUCCUCCGACUCUGGCUCGAUCUCCUCCACUCACUUACCGGAUUGUUGGAACUUCAGCGUCGGGCGAAAAGCUGACCUUCGCUCGCGUCUGCGGAAAAGGUACUCCACCUCUACACACUCUUCCCUCAGCUGCUCCAGGUUUCGGACUCGGAUCGCGUACACAUAACGAGCGAUCUCCUCCUCGAGUCCCUUCUUGACGACUCUGACCAUUUCAGAAUCUGCUAUUGGGGUGAUCAGUCUUGCAGCCAGCCUCCGCAUCGCUCGAAAGUAAUCUUCCACCGAUUCUCCAGGUUCUUGCCGUCGCUCAUUC
rnacentral:lncRNA from 1 species